rnacentral:rRNA from 1 species
AGACUCUACGGGAGGCAGCAGUGAGGAAUAUUGGUCAAUGGACGCAAGUCUGAACCAGCCACGUCGCGUGAAGGAGACGGCCUACGGGUUGUAAACUUCGUUUUAGUAAGGGAAUAAAGUGAGUCACGGGUGACGUUUUUGCAUGUACCUUACGAAUAGGAUCGGCUAACUCCGUGCCAGCAGCCGCGGUAAUACGGAGGAUCCGAGCGUUAUCCGGAGUUUAUGGGUUUAAAGGGUGCGCAGGCGGGAGAUUAAGUCGGCGGUGAAAUUUUGCAGCUCAACUGUAAAAGUGCCAUCGAUACUGGUUUUCUUGAGUGUAGAUGAAGUAGGCGGAAUUUGUGGUGUAGCGGUGAAAUGCAUAGAUAUCACGAGGAACUCCGAUUGCGCAGGCAGCUUACUAAACUACAACUGACGCUCAGGCACGAAGGCGUGGGGAUCAAACAGGAUUAGAUACCCUGGUAGUCCACGCAGUAAACGAUGAUUACUGGCUGUUUGCGAUAUACAGUAAGCGGCUGAGCGAAAGCGUUAAGUAAUCCACCUGGGGAGUACGUUCGCAAGAAUGAAACUCAAAGGAAUUGACGGGGGCCCGCACAAGCGGAGGAACAUGUGGUUUAAUUCGAUGAUACGCGAGGAACCUUACCCGGGCUUGAAAUGCAUCUGACAGGGGCAGAGACGUCCCAUCCCUUCGGGGCAGAUGUGUAGGUGCUGCAUGGUUGUCGUCAGCUCGUGCCGUGAGGUGUCGGCUUAAGUGCCAUAACGAGCGCAACCCUCAUCAUUAGUUACCAUCAGGUCAGGCUGGGGACUCUAGUGAGACUGCCAUCGUAAGAU